rnacentral:misc_RNA from 1 species
GGAAGUGAAAGUCGUAACAAGGUUUCCGUAGGUGAACCUGCGGAAGGAUCAUUCAUAAUAAGUGUUUUACUGCACUUUUUAAAAAUAGUACUCACCUUGUGUGCAAUGUUGUGUUUCUUUUCGGAGAAACACCUACACCAACCUAUAACCUUGAACCACUUUGUCUGAAAAACUAUUAUGAAUACUUAAUUCAAAAUACAACUUUCAACAACGGGUCUCUUGGCUCUA